UACGUAGGGGGCAAGCGUUGUCCGGAAUCAUUGGGCGUAAAGCGCGCGUAGGCGGCCCUGUAAGUCCGUUGUGAAAGUCAAAGGCUCAACCUUUGAAAGCCGAUGGAUACUGCAGGGCUAGAGUCCGGAAGAGGCGAGUGGAAUUCCUGGUGUAGCGGUGGAAUGCGCAGAUAUCAGGAAGAACACCGGUGGCGAAGGCGGCUCUCUGGGCCUUACCUGACGCUGAGGAGCGAAAGCGUGGGUAGCGAACAGG
rnacentral:rRNA from 1 species